rnacentral:lncRNA from 1 species
UCGGUUGUUGGGUUGCUGCCCCUGAAUUGGUAAUUUUGAGGAAAUUUUGCUGUUUUUGGUUAUUAUCUUGAAUAUUAUUAUAGAUAGAGAUAAACUGUAAACAGCAAUAAUGUUCAGCAAAGUAAGAUCUACAAAUAAGUAAACAUGACCAAAAUGGUCAGUUGACCCGUUUAGGAGUUAUUGCCCUUUAUAGUCAAUUUUUAACCAUUUUUCGUAAAUUAAAGUAAUCUUUUACAAAAAUCUUCUCCUCUGAAACUACUGGGCCAAAUUAAUUCAAACUUGGCCACAAUCAUCUUUGGGGUAUCUAGUUUAAAAAAAUGUGUGGCGUGACCUGGUCAACCAACCAAGAUGGCCGCCACCGCUAAAAAUAGAACAUAGGGGUAAAAUGCAGUUUUUGGCUUAUAACUCAAAAAACAAAGCAUUUUGAGGAAAUCUGACAUGGG